AUGCACGCACAUUGUUUGCACUUGUGGUAAUUACAUUCAGCAAGCUGGAAAUAUUCAUUUGUGAUAGAUACUUUUCAAAGUUUAGCUGUAAGGGUUAGGCCUGGGUGCGUGAAAACAAUGCAGCAGAUGAUUGUGCGUUGCAAUGAUUCCUGAACGGGAGUCCUUUUGACGUUGGUCUGGGGCGCUGGGAGGAAACUACCGCGGAAAAGAAAGACAGGGCAGAAACACCCUGUCACCAGUUAAAAGGUGCUAAUGAGCACUUUGCAUAAUGACUAUUCAACAACCGCCUUGAAAUCUUCUAGCAUUUGGCAACAUUAACUAGAAACGGUGGCCCGAUUUAUGCCAAAAUCUGCCUGUAUGACUAUGGGAGACACUUUUACCGGGUUAAACUUCCGAGGGUAAUAUAGCAACUCUGGCCUCCACCUGACAAAUACCAGUUGUAUCUGGCAACAUCUGAUUUAACUAAACAUCUCGAGAAACAUGAGUGGGGGUCAGGCACAAUAAGCGAUCAGUCCUCCCUGAGGACAGCGUGAUGCCACUUUUUACCCCACAUCUGAUGGGUAGCUGGAUCUGCGCGGAGAGAUUCAAUACGAUGGAGGAAAAAGCUAGAAUGCAAAAGCGCUGGAGCAGUGACUUCAAAGUUCUACUGCCAAUCAUCUCUGCCCCGGCGGCGUGGGGAACAUGAUUUAAUUAGCAAGGCAAUAAUGUCAGAGAUGUCUGCAGCCUGCGCUUGCUUAACCGCCGUUAUCCAAUUUGGCCAGAGUAGUUUGCCAGGAUAGUAGCGGUUUGGCCAGAAUAUUUGGACCCCUGCUGCUCGCAGACUCUGUGGAGCCACUCAAGGGACCUGUUUUCAAACCAGGUGAAGCAAUUCCGUGCUGUGUGCUAAUCGGGAGAGAGCUCACACUGCAGGGCCAUUAGAUCUAAUUGCUGCCCAUUAUCUCUCUCUUUGAUAGGCAAUUAGAUGACAAUUAACUUGGAAAAGCCCUGAGGGCUUGAAGUAGAGAAGGGGGAGGAGAGACCUUCAGGUUUCAGUACAUGAUCUGUGCAAAGCCUGUUAACUUUUCCUUUCAGCUACAUACAAACAAACCUCGUGGGGAAAAGGAUUUCUUCUCCCCCCGAAAAAAAUUCUGUGCUGUGAUUUUAAUGGACCCAAAAGCAAAAUAAUUCUGUAAUCAAAAAAGACACGUUUCAGCCUUUCCCUUUUACAAAGAUCUAUUUCUAACCCAGGUAACUUCGUAUUUAUUAUUUAUAGUAACUCUGUUUUCACAUUUGAACAACAUACUGUAAAGGUGUCGGAGUUCUUUGGACAUCCCUCAGCUGUUUUGGGGUGUUGUGAAGCAUAGACUUUAGGUUCAUUACAUUUUCUUGCUUUAUUUGGUCAUCCUUUGGUAUUAAUUUUCGAAGAGCUAAAUGAGAUUUUCAAAAUCCGGUUUUAAAAUGAUCACUCCCACAAUUGUGAUGUGAUUGUCCAAAUCGUUUUCAGAGUAGAAGACUGUUUGUUAGUUUGUAAAUUUAUUUAUAAUUUGUUAGUCUUUAAGGUGCCACAAGUACUCCUGUUCUUUUAGUCCAAAAAGGAAAAUUGACAUAUUGCAACAUGCAAUCGAAUUUUUAAAUUGUAUUUUAAAACGGUUCUGCAAUAUCCCCAUAAUGUUACCAGAACUCUGCCUCCAGCUGCAACCAACGGAGUCAGGGGGCAAUGGACAGGUUAGUGUUCACGGGUACUUCAAAUAAAAAGGCAUUUACUCUUAAACAAGUAAUCUCGUUGAUGCCUAAUUGACUAUCUAAUAGCAUGUAUCAGUACAUCAAAGCCUCGCUGAAUAAACUGGUUAGCAUUUCUAAGGGGCGCAGUGAGCGUUACAAACAGUGAUCAAUUUUCUUAUCAGCCAUACUUAAAAGGAAGCUGUCCCUCUGAGCAGAUAACGAUGUGUGUGCCUAAGUGAAGUAUUGGGAUUCAUUGUCUCUCAUGGAAAGUCUAAGAACAAUAAAAGCUGAAGGGGCUGACGACAGUGAGAGUUUCCCCAGUUUGGGUCCCUUUGAUCAGCAAAACCGGCCGGGUGAGAUGCUCCUAGACUCCUGGCGCCU